CCCGAGUACCAGAAGAGGCCAAUGAGCAGGGCCCCCCCUCCUGAGGACCAUAAACAGUGACCCAGGCACAGAGGGAGUGUAGUGAAUUCCUGUACUUUAAUGUUGCCCUGGCAUCCGUUUUGAAUAUAAUCUGGACUUUCUUACAUUAGAAGCAGGGCUCAGUCAACCUUGACACUGUUUCCAGCUCCCUGCUUCCUCCCAGUUCCUCUAUGUGCUCAAUCCAGAUAUCUACCUUAGACAGUCAUCUCCCGGUGACUGCCUCCCUGUGGGACAGCUACAUACAGCCCACUUGACUGGUCCCGCUGACCCCACAGCCCGCAUGGACUGUUGCAGAUAGGCCAGUGACCCUCUCUCAGCCAUAGCGUGACCCUGCUUGCUCUAAACUCACCAAUUAUUUUAUUUUAUUUUAUUUUAUUUUAUUUUAUUUUAUUUAUUUAUUUUUGAGAUGGAGUCUCGCUCUGUCACCCAGGCUGGAGUGCAGUGGCGCAAUCCUGGCUCACUGCAAGCUCCGCCUCCCGGGUUCAAGCCAUUCUCCUGCCUCAGCCUCCUGAGUAGCUGGGACUACAGGUGCGCACCACCACGCCCAGCUAAUUUUUGUAUUUUUAGUAGAGACGGGGUUUCACAAUGUUUUCCAGGAUGGUCUCAAUCUCUUGACCUCGUGAUCCACCCGCCUCGGCCUCCCAAAGUACAGGCGUGAGCCACCGGCACCUGGCCUAAACCCAAUUAUUACUCCCCUCAGGAAACCUGCCUGGGUGACGCCCUGGACCCCAUAAAGGCCUUGGUCCCACAGGUCCCCUCUCUCUCUCACUCUCUACCUGCUACUUGAACACCCUGCUGUCUCCGGGAUUCCUGUUGGCCCUCAUCGGCGCUGGCUUCUCUCAUGGAUCUAGAGCGGCUAUCUCGGCUUAUGGUACCUCUCCAAGGGACACCCCAAGACCCAAUUAGACAAAGAUCUCAACAGGGAGGCUCCUGGCUCAAGGUAAGUUUUGAAAGGAUGCCCAAGGGCUCUGGCAUGACCAUGCUACCUGCAGAGAGGACCCAGGGCACAGGCCCCAGCCCCAGUGGCCGAGAUAGGGGGAGGGUUGCCCCAGGGACCCCCCCAAGUACUGAGGCCUGGGCAUGGAGAUGUGGGAGACCCCUCUCAGAUCCCUGCUCCUGACACACACAGGCAGGGUCCCUUACUGCCUUAUCUUUCCUGGUGCUCACACCUGUCCCCUUCCACAGCUAAUUUCCAUCAGAGACCUGGGACCUAAGUCCCCUGUUUCAGCCUGGCAUCUCCCAGAGCCAUUCAGAUCUCUCUUGGAGGUGCCCGGUGAUCCCCAGGGCAGAGCUCGGUGGAGUCAAGGCACCUUGCUUGCCUCACUCUAGUCCCAGCCUGACCUCAGGAGAAGGAUUGAGGAACCUAGUCCUCCCGCAGGCAGGAGGGGUAGAGCACCUUGGAACCAAACUCAGGAGUUUCUGGCUGGCUCCAAACAGAAGAGCCACAGCCCACAGGAGCUCUCUUCUGAAAGGAUCUCCAGCCUUGGGUUUACCUCAUCAGAGGCUUGGCCUGUGGGACACUGCGGGAGAGGAUUGGGAGAAGAAAGAGGGAGACGGGGUUUCACCAUGUUCGCCAGGAUGGACUCGAUUUCCUGACCUCGUGAUCCACCCACCUCGGCCUCCCAAAGUGAUGGGAUUGCAGGCGUGAGCCACCGUGCCCAGCCAAGGUAAGAUUCUUAUAAACCUUUUAUAACCCUUUACAAUUUUUUUUAGAACAGAACAAUGUUCUUAAAAAAUUCUGCUGUGCUUUUUUUUUUUUUUUUUUUUUUGAGAUGGAGUCUGGCUCUGUUGCCUGGCCUGGAGUGUAGUGGCACGAUCUCAGCUCACUGCAACCUCCGCCUCCAGGGUUCAAGCGAUUCUCCUGCCUCAGCCUCCCGAAUAGCUGGAAUUACAGGCUCCUGCCACUACACCCAGCUAAUUUUUUGUAUUUUUAGUAGAGAUGGGGUUUCACCAUGUUGGCCAUGCUGGUCUUGAACUGCUGACCUCAUGAUUUGCCUGCCUCAGCCUCCCAAAGUGCUGGGAUUACAGGCAUGAGCCACGGUGCCUGGCCUCUGCUUUUGAUGGCAGCAGGGGGCCGUCUAAAGUGGCUGCUGCCAUCACACUGGCUGCAGUAGGGAGGCAUGGGCGGUGGUGGCAGGAGCAGCUGUGGGAGCAGCAGUGGCAGUAGUGGGACUCCUGUGCCCCAUGUCCCCUGUGCCCUGCAUCCCUGAGGCAGUCAGCUGCACCACCCCCAUCCUCUCAUGGCUGGGCAGAACCUGCUCCCAGACCCAGAGUCUCCACCGUGGUCACAAUCUUGCACGCCUGGCCAAGGGCACAGUUGGGGACUCUUGGGGCCAGCCCCAAGAGCAUUUGGUUUGUUUGUGUGGGGUUGACUGGGGCUACAGCACCACCUGCACCUUGCCCAUGACUGCUGCAGGGAAAAUGCAGACAGGAGGCAGGCAGGCACUCCCUGGAGCCUGUCCCUGGGAGCCCCCUAGAGUCCACUGCCCUGGGAGCCACUGUGAUGAGGCUGGGCUGAGUCACCCACUGACGGGGGAGCAGUGUAAUUGAGCAUGGAGGGGUGGGCAGAAAGGGGCCCUGAUAUGGAGCUGGGCCCAGGCCAGUGCCACACUCCAAGGAGCCAGUGAGAGCCAGGAGCAGACAGGGGCCUGGCAUUCCUGGGCGUGGCUGUGGCCACCCAAGUCACAGCUGUGGACCCAGGCCUCCCUGUGCUUUUGGGGGCUGGGAGCAGGUAGAAGCCCCACCCUCCCAAGGAGCAGCUGCAGCCACUCAGCUGCAGCUGUGGACCCAGGCCUCUCUGCACUUUUGGAGCCCUAGGAAGGCCACCCCCUUCCCCCUGCAGGCUCUGAGGUGUCUUAUCUCACUGCCUGAUCUCUGUCAACUCCUGGCAACUGCUCCGAUCUCAGAGCAAGGUUGGGGCCAAGCCUGGGCACUGUCGCAACCCAGCCAUGUGUGUGUACACUCAGGGCAGUGUUAACACGCCAGCCCCCUGCCACCUUAGCCCCCUCCUGACUUUGGGCACCAGCAAGCACCAGAGGGAGGCCAAGGGGGUGCUGAGGGCAGCUUGGCACUGGCCUCCAGGUGCCCUUUGGUAUGAACAGCCUGGACAUCAUGAACAGAGGCAGGAGACAGGCUCCUGGGCAGAAAGGAAAAGUUCCCCAGUGAAGCCUCACCUUGAAGCUGGCGAGGGCCUGUAGCUGGGGACUACACUGCUGGUCCCACAAACCAGAGUGGGAACUUGUGAUGCUUUUUCUGGGGCUGCACAUGGUUUCCCAUGGACCAACUGACAUGCGCUUCCUCCCCUCUGAGGCCCAUAAAAGCCCUGGACUCAGCCAGACUUGAGAAGAUGAUGGGACAACCAGCUGCAGAGAGGAGCUACCCUCUCUGCUGAGAGCUGAAGAGACAACAUGAUGACCAGCUGCAGAGAGGAGCUACCGUCUCUCCUGAGAGCUGAACACUCAUUGGGACACCCUGGCUACAGAAAGGAGCUACCUAUUUCAGGUCUCCUCUAAGCUGUUCUGUCACUCAAUAAAGCUUCUCUUCAUCUUGCUCACCCUUCGCUUGUCUGCAUACCUCAUUCUUCCUGGAUGCAGGACAAGAACUUGGGACCUGCCAAA
rnacentral:lncRNA from 1 species